ensembl:lncRNA aurora kinase A and ninein interacting protein
CCCCCGUCAGCAACCCGCAGCGCAGCGGCGGCAGAGCUCUAUAUAGGGCGCAGCCCAGAGUGGGCGGGACCAUCCCUGCCGCUCAUCCCAGCCCGGGGCCGCGAUUGGUCUCUCUCCGCGACGGGGCCACGCCCCCGCGUCGCGCGCGGCGGCCGUUACGCGGCGACGGUUGGCGGCCGUUACGCGGCGGCAGUUGGCGCGCGCGGCGGCAGCGGGUGAGGUGGCGCCUGCGCGCUGGGGGGGGGCCGGGGGCGGCUGGGGGUGGCGGUACCGCGGGGAAGGCCGGGACGCCCAGGGCCCGCUGCAGCCCGCCGCGCCGGGAGCCGCGCGAAGAGGCGCCGCCGGCGGCUCUGUUCGCGGGAAGGGGAAUAGGGCGGGACGUAGCGAGCCGCGGUACCGCUUCCACCCCCCGGGGCUGGUUCAGCCUCCUCGGCRCCGCUCGGGAGGCUGUUCCCGGCCUCCCAAGGGCCUGUGGGAGUCUUACCGCAACUUGCUCUCUUGAAGGCCGGAAAAYGCAGCGAGCAUCCGCUGCCGAGGGUCGGCCAUGAGACGCAAACGCAGAGGCAGCCCUGCCCGGCAGGUUGAGGCGUGCGAUGUCUGGCUGGACACGGCGAAGCUAAAGCAGCGCAGAGGACAGGUGAGGGGGCUGCGUGGUUCGCACYGUGCUGGACUCUCUGUAGUCACGUGCAGUUCUUUACCAGCCUGGGCUGUGCUCRUCUAAAGGAGUGGGAGACCGUGAUUGUGGGAGAAGAUACAAUAAUACUGCAAAUUAGAAGAGGCUGGCAGAGCAAGGCUGCAAGAUGGAUACAACAUAAAGUAGUUAAAGAUGUGUGAGAGGGAUGGUAUGUAGUUAAUAUGAGGUUUGGACUGUGCAGGCCACUUGGAUAGGAAGAGUUGAGCCAAUUAUCAAGGAAGCGGGAACUAUGCCAUGACAUUGGAAGAAGGGUAGGUUUGUUAGUGACAGAGUACGGUCACUUUCCAUUUGUUUCUUUCCUUUCCCAGUCUCUCCUACCCAAGCCAAAAGUAUCUCAUCGCCUUCUGGAGAGGCACUGUGAGGGGUACACCUCAGUGCCUUCCACGCAGACAAGAGCAGCUCCAGCGUGCACCAAGCAAACCACCAUCUCCGCCUUCUUCAGUACCCAGACAGAUGAAAAAGACAAAGAAAACUCCAGGUUAUCUCCGCUUAUCCUAAAUAAAGAACAUAAAGAAAAAGGUAUUCCUUUGGCUGCCUCCCCUGUGAAGAUCUUGACGUUUCCGCAGAUAGAGGAAGCGCAGAAACCACCCUUCAGAGCUGAAGAUAAGAAGGUACAGAUUAUACCCCAGCAUCUUGUACAAAAAGCACCAGUCUCGCAGACCUCUUUGCCAGACUCUUUGCCAGACUCUUUGCUAGAAGCAGAGUCCCGCAGUAAGGGUGAGGCCUCCUGUGGGGGAGAAGAGGAUUUCUCCUUAGACUUUACCCAGGAUUCAGAGGGCAACCAGAUCCUAUCUUUGCCAGACUCUUUGCUAGAAGCAGAGUCCCGCAGUAAGGGUGAGGCCUCCUGUGGGGGAGAAGAGGAUUUCUCCUUAGACUUUACCCAGGAUUCAGAGGGCAACCAGAUCCUAGCUCACAGAAAUGUAGCUGACUUAUUUGCUGGAGAAACAGUCUCUGGAAGCAACAUAACUUCAAGAAAGAGAACAGACUCCUGGAUAAACAAAGAGGAGGGCCAGCUGGACCCAGAGGAGGAGAAGGAUGGACUUGAUAUCCAACCAAGRCAUGGUGCAAACCAGAGUAAGAAACCACACCGACUAUCUAGUAGCAAUAAUUCUUUAAUUGAUUUCUCCGAGCCUGAGAAUAUAAAUCCUGCUAUAAAGAGAGACAAUAUCGGGGCUGCUGGCUUUUGUUCAUCUCCUAAAAGAAYACCUAAAGCACAGCCUUUGAGAGAGCGCAGCCAAAACGCUGGUGGUGGUUCAGCUAAGGAAGAAUGGGACAGUAAGAACAGACUGAGCAGUCCCUUGAGGCAAUUGUUUACCCAGGAUUCAGAGGGGAACAGAGUAAUUUCUCACUACUGCCAGAAAGUGAGAUCUCCUCUAAAGGCGAAAAACAGCACUAGCAGUUGGCUGACUAACUCCCCAUACAAGGAUUGUUCCAGGGAUGCUACAAAUAGGAAUGUAAGCAAACUAGGGGAGCAUCAGUUAGAUGCAUGCUACGAUUUACUAUUCACCCAGGAUUCAGAAGGRAAUAGAGUUAUUAAACACUGA